ACAUAGGCCAUCAGGUCCCAGUUCAGAAUGGCCUUUUAUGAACUCCAGGGUCCAGAGACAUUUCCAGGCUUCAUGGAACACACGCAUACAUACAGUUUUCUUUUUCUACAAUCUGGUCUUUUGAGAUAGUCUCUCUACAUAUCACAGGUUGGCUGUAAACUCCCAAUUUUCCAACUUCAUCCUCCCCUGUGCUCUGUUAGGCGAACGUCCCUCCCGCGUCCUUGACUCUGGUUGGGGAGUUGCCCUAGCAGAAGCGGUAAAGAACGUGUGAGUACUAACCAGCUUGAGCCUCCUGUACCCCAAGCCAAUCUUGGGAAGCUUCGCUGGUGGUUUGAGCAACUUUUGCACUUCCAUAGGGUUCUGCCUCCCGAUCCUACUGUCUACUAUCUAGAGGACCUCAGGGUCCCCCUUUAGUUUCCCUGUCCUAACGGGAUUUGACCCUCCUUUGACGGUUACUCUUGUGCUCAAUCUCCGCCCGCCCAGACCUGCGGUGCACGCCCUCGCGGCUUCCCACCUGCACACGCACAGCCUCCUCCUCGGCCAGGCCCACCGGGUGGCCGCGGUGCGCACCCAGAACCGGGCAGAGCGCGCACACACAGCGGCCGCAGCGGCGACAGAAGAGCUCAGCCGGGCGUUCGCUGUGCUCCGGACAGCGCCAGCCAUACGCCCCGUCGGGCUGAAAGGGCGCCCGCGCCUCGGUAGUCUCGCUCGCCAUUCUCAGUGGCAACCGCUGUUCUCUGUGCAGUGUGGUCGGGUUGGGUUGGUGCAGAAAUCGAAACCUUGCUCGGGGAGGGGCGGGGCGGGGCGGGGCGGGCGACCCAGCUCCCAGUGGCAAACUGGAGGGGCGAUGACCUGCUGGAGAGUUGAUGCUUGGUCCCACCUAGUGCUGGAUCCGCGGCACAGCAUCCUUCCACUCUUUCUCACCUUGAGGAGGAGGAGGUCACUAUAGAUAGGAACGCGGGUGCUUGCACUGAUGGGCUCACUGGAAGGUUGGCUUCCCGCUUGUUGAUGAUGUUGGGCUUCUGGCAAACUGCGGAGGUGCGUAGUAGGUGGUGUGGCCUGCCCAGAGGGCCUACAUUUUCUACACCUCAUUUUGUUCUUUUCCUGUAGUGCUUCCUCCCUAUGGUCAGCCAUGUGGGGGCAGGUGGGGGUGAAGUUGGAACAUACUUCCAAGAAGCCCCAAUUAUCUUCAGGCUAAAACUUCAAAGCCCCAGGCCCUGAAGAUGUUCUGAUUUCUCUUGCCUUGAUGGGUGAAUGACCCACCCUGUUUCUAGCCGGGGCAUUUUGCAGUUCUUGCUUAAGGUAUAGCUGCUGCUCACUGUCCCCCAAUCACAUGGAGGUGUGGCUUAUCUCCUUCUUCAGGAAGCGUCCAUUCUCCACCCACAGCCGCCUGACCACCCUGCCCCAUCCUGCCCCUCACGAAUUCUCUCAAACACAAGUGGAAGCACUUCAAGGGUAUUCGGACCUUACUGACCAGUUUGCCAACCUGGUCCGGUAUCAUCUGGUCCAGACACCUAGUGCUAAAUUGGUACUUGUAGAACGAAUUAACAAAAAGGAAAUCGCCAAGCAUUGCAAUAUCGAGUCUGGUGUUAUUAUUUAUUAUUAUUUUGGUUGAGGCAGAGUCUUAGACUCCUUUGCCCAAGCUGGUCUGGAAUUUUCAAUCUUCCUGCCUCAGCCUUCCAUGAACUGGGAUUACAGGCAGGAAUUACCACCCACAGUAGAUUGUCAUAUUCUUACAUUGCACGAUUCUGUGUCUAUUUUAACUUUUAUUUCUUAAUUAUUUUUUUAUUUACUUUUUUACAAAGGUACAAGGAAUUUAAGAAACAUUCAAACAAUCACUCAAACGGCUUCAGGCACGGUUUCAUAUGAAAAGCAUAGGUCCGUAUCUUGAUUCCCGUUUCCCUCUGGGAUACAACCUCAAGUUUUGUUCUAGGAAGCAGAAUUAUUGUAGAGCUAAGGUGGGUACAAGCUCAUCUCCAAGCGUUCUCCCUCAUUCACACAAAGUUCCUGAGUCAUCAGAAAGAAAGCUCCCAAGGCAAGAAGGAAGGAGCCGAGGGCGGCUUUGCUGCUUGGGUGGUCACUGUGUCAGGGGGCAGUGUUGCUCCAUUAGCCCAAGAACAUAAAAACAUAAUCUUAAAAAAAUAUGACAAAAUCU
rnacentral:lncRNA from 1 species